UUGUAUGUGGUAUAUAUGUAUGUUAUAAUAAUGUAUAGGUAUGGACAAAACAUGUGUUUUGUAAAAAAAUACAAAAAACAAAUACAAUAUCUUUAUCUUAAACAAAGAUAGACAGAGUUCUCCGAAACAUUCUUUCAAUUUUACUUGGGAUUCAAUUAACUGCGCUGAUAAUUUUCAAAGUCGUCUUUAUAUUCAUCUUCUCUCAUUGACAUGUAUAAGUAUGUAUGUAUGUAUGUAUAUAUUUUGGGACGUCCAAUCUCUUACCUGCUCCAUUUGAAAUCAUAAUUAAUAAAUUCUGUUGCGGUUUGUUUAUGUUUUGGAAACAAACAUAUGUACAUCCUAUUCUAAAUACAUAUGUAUGUACAUAUGUACACGUUUAUUAGUCAGUUGGUAUUUGAGAUAUACCAUUUCUAACAUAUGUACAUCAUAAUGUGAUGCGAAAGCAUAUACAUACGUAUGUAUGUACAUACAUAUGUACACAUAAUCAAAAUAUGAAAGUGCUAUUGCACAUUAAUCUUAGAGUUUGGAACGAACAUUGGAAGCAGAAGCCAGAUGAUUAAUAGUUGUGUGCCCUAAUAAAACACAAAAAAAAAAUAAUAAUAGAUUGAGUGUAAACUGGAAAAGAGCGCUCUUAAUAUGACUUUGACAACAUUGAUGAGUAUAAUAGCCUAGACAAUUCACUCACAGAGCCACUGUCAGCACUUUGGCAAAGUAGAUAUACCAACUAGUGAAGAGGAAGUCUAUGUAUGUAUAUGUAUAUAUUCGGGCAUUCUAAAAUAGUCGUUCUCUAGGGGGCAGAAGAUGUAACAAUGAAUGGAAAACUCUUUGACGUUAGACAAAAAGCAUUGCUUCUCUUACCAGUUGGCAUAUCUUCGUUAAGGCCAUUCUGCAUUCUAAUUAUUUUGUAGUGAACAUCCUAUUACUGCAGCUUUGCAUACAAAUGUAUGUAUGUAUGUAUACACAUAUUAGUGUGUUAAAGAAUCAGACUUAGAGAUUUCGUUUAGAUUAGAGUUUCCCCUAAACUUUAGAUAGAAAUAGGCAGAAGAAAAUCAUUUGAAGAUUCUCAUGUAGUUUGCUAGAAUCUGAAGAAAAGUAGUCAUCUACCACUAAUCCUGCGUGAUUGUAAAAGUCUGUCGAGUUCCAUAACUGAACUCACGAAUGAAAAUAUACCAACAUAGAACCAAUGAAAAGAGUUUUGGAAAAAAACUUCGCACGAUUUUUCUUCAUCAACAUUUUGUACCAGAAACGCAGAAGAUGACAGUAAGAGGCAUUUUUGUAAUUUAUAUUUACUUGGUCACGAAUGCGCCACCCAAUCGAGUAGUCGUACUGCACUGCUGCACUCUCAUUACGAGCACAUUGAAAUGCAGGCGCAUGAGACACCAGUUCGAACCGUAGCACAGAAAUGUGCACAAAUACACUUGAACAUAUGCAUAUGUGUAAAUACAUACAAACAUGGUUACAUGCCUAUGCAUAUGUAAGCGAUGACACAGAUCAGAGAUAUGCUUGAAUGCACUUUCAAGUGUAUAGAUCGCAAGUGUUGUUUCUUUAACAAUGUGUCAAGUUUAUGAAUUAUUCAUAUAAACAAAAUUAAUAGCGCUGUUCAAUUUUACGAAAAAAUAAGAAGAAAGAUCAUCCGUUCUGACUAUAGGACCUUGGUUAUGCUGAGCGAAUCGGAUUCAUUUGUAAUUUCCACAGGAAUCAGGGCUCAGAUAGAGGAAAAUGACCGGCGAAAUAUUAGGGAAGAAUUUAAACGGUAACUAUCUGGACAGUUUACCGUUGGCUGUGACCCCAAGUACUGCUCGCAGGUCGUUAAAACUUGAAUAUCUAGUGAAAAUGUUAAAAUUCUGGAUUGGCCAGCUCAAAAUCUUGACCUAAAUCCUAUAGAAAAUUUAUGGGCGAUAAUAAAGAGACUAGCUGUACAAAAACCUAGCAACAAAUAUUUUUUAUGGAAAAUAAUACAGGCAGAGUGGAACAAAAUAAAUCCCUCCCAAUGUGCUAAAGCAAUAAAGGAUACCCAACUAAUUAUUAGCUUUAGGUGAUUUAUUAUAUGAGUACAACAUUUUGGAUGGGCUAAUACAUACGAAUUCUUGUAAAUUGUGCAUUUUGGAUUACAGUGCAUGAUUUAAUCAGAACUUGACUUCUUAUCGUUGCCACACACCAUCUCCUAGUACUACUGCUAAGAAUCUCACCAGGAGAGGUUUGAGCAUUAAGCUUACGUACAUUCUAUAUUAAUCUGCAAGUAAUGUGAAUUUCUCCCACCCCGUUCGAGGCUACUCCUUGUUUUAUUGGCGUCUCGAAAAGUUAGAUGAAAAGGUGUAGAUAGAAUUAUAGACAUUUACAACGCUCAUAAAAGCAAUAAAAUGUUCAUAGUUUCAGAUUUAUUUAUAGCACAUAGCAUGGUAUAUGUAUAAUAUUCUACCUUAAAGCUAAAUAUGAAUUUUCUUGUAUGUACAUACAUACAUAGAUUUGUAUAUUUAGUGUAAUCUGUGAUCUCUAUAUAUGCAAAUAUCGUAUAUACAAGUACAUAAUAUUUGUGUGCAUAAGUAUGCAAUUGAUAUGUUUGGUUUACAAUUUGUUAGAAUCGUUUAAAUGAACCUAUACAUGAAGAGUAGGUUUGCUUUUGUUAUAUCCAUUUCUGAUUCGCUUAUCAGAAAUCAAUAUCCUUAUGUGAUACCGUUGCGGUACAAGCGUCUUUAAAAUUAGUUGCGUUCAAAGACACAAAGUAGUCUUCGUGAAGGAAUCGAAUAAUAUUCUCGAUUGGACAAAGAUCUGCCUUAUUCCCACGACUAUCACGUGUGACUCUUAAACUCUUACCACCUUCGCAAAACUCGAUUUGUUGUGUGACAUCUCGACCAUUGUAGACUAUCCGAAAAUAAUAGUCUGUAUGUGUUUCGCUUUUGUAUAAUUCAAUAGCUAAUCGAGUGGCAUAAGGUAUAAAUGUGUUUCCAGUUCUUAUUCCCAAAGCAGCAGUUAAAUAUUGCAGAGUCCAAUCGUGGCCUGAGUACAGAACAAAUUUAGUUCGAUCGCCUGAGAUCAUUCGUAGCAUAUAGCUAACGAUAUGUCGAAUCAUACCAUAUGAUCGGAGUAGUCCUAUUCGUCUGUAAUAGAUAUGUGCUACUUCGUAUGUUGAUUGCCAGUUCGCAUACGCCAUAAGAGCUGUGACGUGAGUGUCUUCGACACAUCCCAUCGAAUUUUCACUGUCAAGAUCUUCAUUAAAUAUAUUUUCUGGUACGAAAUUAGGAUCUGCAGCGUUUUCAUCUUGGUCGAUGUUAAUGACAUCAUUCAAAUCUGUUGCACUCAAUUGGGUGGAAUAUAAACGCGAAUUAUUUGAAAUCAUUUGUCGACAAGGUAGUGGCGCAUCGUGACAUAAAAUCAUGUUUAGAACGUCCAUCACAUCUUGAACAUUGUUGAUACCAUUUGGUGUAUGUUGAAGCAAAGUUCCCCCCACCCAUUGAAUAACUUUACUGAUAUCCGGUUGAAGUGUCAAAUUCAAUUUUUGUUCAUUUUUCUGACGUUUGAAUAAAAGUUCCGCUUGAUGACAAGUACAGUCUGUAAAACAAAACGCCAUGCUCUGUGACUCGCGAAUAUUUAAGGAUAACCACUUAUCAUUUGGCAAAAAACUGAAGAGAAUUGCGAGAGCUGAUUGAAAAGUUCUCCUAUAGCGCGUAGAAAAUACUACCACUUCGUCAGAGGUGAGCAACGAAUUAGGAGUCGAGGAUCCACCCAUUGAGGGUUUAUUUGAUGUUGGUUUAGUAAGCAACCCCAAUGCGUGAGCGUAAAUUUGAUGAAGAAUAUCACCUACAUGUAACAUUUGAGCGACUCCCCUGUCCAUUUUUAGAAAUAUAAAAUUAAAAUUUAUACAAUAAUAUAAUAUGUAUGAUUUAUGUACAUAUAUAAGGGGUUUGUUUACGCACUUAAAUGUCAGCUGGCCUAAAAGACAUGCGCGAUCAGAUGCUGGCAACAAAGGAAAUCCAUGAAACGGUCCCAUUUUAUUCCAAUACAUGUGAUUAGAACUCGCAGACGAUGUGGAAUUGUAUAGGAAACUGCGAUAGCUGUAAAUGAUUUUCGACACUCAGGAAGUGUGUAGCAAUUUUUAUUUGCGUAGUUUGUAUGAACAUUUUACACACAAUUACAUACGUACAUAUGUACAUAUACAUACAUACAUACAUGUAUGCGUAUGUGCUUAGAGAGUAGUUUCCAAUAGAAGUUUGUAAAAAUAUUUAUUAUUCACUCACCGAUUGACUAAGCCGUUGUUUUCUGCACUGCAAUCGAUACCCAUAACUCCUCGCAUAUGUGACAUGGGACCACGGUCACCGUGCCUUAUGACCAUUAAUACACCUUGCAAUUUCCAACCGUCUAAUAUGCCACCUUCAUCGCGACGCACCAAGUGUUCUAAAGGUGCACAACGCUCCUUAAAUUGGCUAUAUUUCAAAAUUCUUUUGUCUAGUCUUUGAGGAUAAAUUUCAUCCGUAUAUUGUGCGUUGACAUCUCCUGAUGGAGAAUGUAAUUGACCAUUAAAAAAUUGUAUUGUAUUACUAAGAGAAUUUCCGUUAUGACCAAUAUAUUUGUACAUUCCUAAAAUAAUUCAAUAAAAAUUAAGUAAUAAUCUUUAAAU
rnacentral:lncRNA from 1 species